rnacentral:pre_miRNA from 2 species
UCUUAUGGAUGAGCAAAGAAAGUGACCUCUUAAAAUAGAAACUACUCCUGGUGAAUAUUCUGUGAA